rnacentral:rRNA from 1 species
UACGGAGGGGGCUAGCGUUGUUCGGAAUUACUGGGCGUAAAGCGCACGUAGGCGGCUUUGUAAGUUAGAGGUGAAAGCCCGGGGCUCAACUCCGGAAUUGCCUUUAAGACUGCAUCGCUAGAAGUUGUGGAGAGGUAAGUGGAAUUCCGAGUGUAGAGGUGAAAUUCGUAGAUAUUCGGAAGAACACCAGUGGCGAAGGACGACUUACUGGACACAUAUUGACGCUGAGGUGGCGAAAAGCGUGGGGAGCAAACAGG